CGGCCAGGCAGUGGCGGACGGGUGAGUAACGCGUAGGCAUCUAUCCUUGGGUGGGGGACAACCGUGGGAAACUACGGCUAAUACCGCAUGACGACUGAGGUCCAAAGCCCGCAAGGGCGCCUGGGGCGGAGCCUGCGUCCGAUUAGCUAGUUGGUGAGGUAAUGGCUCACCAAGGCGACGAUCAGUAGCUGGUCUGAGAGGAUGAUCAGCCACAUUGGGACUGAGACACGGCCCAAACUCCUACGGGAGGCAGCAGUGGGGAAUAUUGGACAAUGGGCGCAAGCCUGAUCCAGCCAUGCCGCGUGAGUGAUGAAGGCCCUAGGGUUGUAAAGCUCUUUUGUGCGGGAAGAUAAUGACGGUACCGCAAGAAUAAGCCCCGGCUAACUUCGUGCCAGCAGCCGCGGUAAUACGAAGGGGGCUAGCGUUGCUCGGAAUCACUGGGCGUAAAGGGUGCGUAGGCGGGUCUUUAAGUCAGGGGUGAAAUCCUGGAGCUCAACUCCAGAACUGCCUUUGAUACUGAGGAUCUUGAGUUCGGGAGAGGUGAGUGGAACUGCGAGUGUAGAGGUGAAAUUCGUAGAUAUUCGCAAGAACACCAGUGGCGAAGGCGGCUCACUGGCCCGAUACUGACGCUGAGGCACGAAAGCGUGGGGAGCAAACAGGAUUAGAUACCCUGGUAGUCCACGCCGUAAACGAUGAAUGCCAGCCGUUAGUGGGUUUACUCACUAGUGGCGCAGCUAACGCUUUAAGCAUUCCGCCUGGGGAGUACGGUCGCAAGAUUAAAACUCAAAGGAAUUGACGG
rnacentral:rRNA from 1 species